CCCUUAGAUGUUCUGGGCCGCACGCGCGCUACACUGAUCGAUUCAACGAGUUUUAUAAUAUUUUGUUUAAAAAAUUUAUAUAUCCUUUGUCGGAAGGCAUGGGUAAUCUUUUAAAUGUCGAUCGUGAUGGGGCUAGAUUCUUGCAAUUAUUAAUCUCCAACGAGGAAUUCCUAGUAAACGCAAGUCAUCAGCUUGCAUUGAUUACGUCCCUGCCCUUUGUACACACCGCCCGUCGCUCCUACCGAUUGAGUGGUCCGGUGAGGCUUUGGGAUCUGAGCGGAAAGAGCGUUUCGCUGUUUCUGCUCGGAAAACUCAGUCGAACCUUAUCAUUUAGAGGAAGGAGAAGUCGUAACA
rnacentral:rRNA from 1 species